rnacentral:sRNA from 1 species
CCCUUUAUAAGCCCUCCGAUCUAGAUUUACCAGAAACUAACGUGCUUUGCCAAGUUCAUUCGGCGCAGCACCCGACGCAGUCGGUGAAAGCGCACCUGCAGCAGUAACGGCAUCAUCAUGACUCCCGCCACGAAUGUGAAAGCGGCGGCCGGUAUGGAUACCAGAUAGGCCCAGAACCUUCUUCACAGCCCCCGUAACACCAGAACCACUCAGCCGCCUCGAUUUCCCCGCAUCUUCGGUGGUAAGGGGUUUAUUUCCUCCUGCUCGUUUUUUCACAAUAGGUACAUCUUGGGUGAUGGUUGGCUUUGGUGGCCAUUCGCCAUCCGCCUUCCAGCCUUGGACUAGGGCCUUGGUAACAUCUGACAGAUUUAUUGGUAUAGCCGGUGUCAAAGAUUGGAUGACGACUUUGCUAUAUAUAGAAGGGUAUAUAGAGGGCUUUAUAGAAGCCCGGAUGACGUUGGUGAUUGGGAGGAGGGGUUCCACGACAGGAAUUAGUGGCUCCCCAGAAUGUGGGACACGAGGUUGAUUAGAGUUGGGGUUGGGGUUGUCGUCAGCGUUGAUGGUUGAAACGGCUUCUCUGAUAUCCAUGUCGCCGAUUAAAUCACUAAGCGAAAGGAUCUGAGCAUCCGCUCCCUGCGGAGCACUAGCAAAUGAGGCAGAAGGAGAUCGCAACGGGCUAUCCCUUUGGCCAGUGGAAUCCGGGGAAGCCAUCUCCGCAUCCUCGUUUUCUCCAUAGUAACGGCUCCCAGAACCACUUGUCUCAUUGCUUCCAGUAGUGACUACAACAGUUCCAUUCCUUUGGCUAUCCGCUGCGGUCGUGGGCAACCUAGCCCCUGUCCACGCAUUCCGUCUUUCCAUCCAUAUCCUCAACCCUUCAUUCCACGCCAUUUCCUCCUCCACAACCCUCCGCCGUUUCCUCUUUCUCUCCAAAAUGCUGUCUUCCACCGCAUCCGGUGACUCAAACCUGUACGGGUCUCCAACCUUAUAGGUAGCGGAGAGCGGAUGUACCAGUCCUGGAUCUAUUUCCUUAAAAGUUACUCCGACUCCUCCAGUCUCCGAACAUGAGCUAUCCUGUUCCCGUUCCCGCCAUUCUCGCACCUCGCGAGCAUGUAAUUGCACAGCUCCAUCCAAAGUGGGGCAGAUCAGAGGUGAUUGCGGUUGUGAUUGCAAGUGCUGGCUUUCCGAUUCGGGAGGAGAAGUAGCGGAUUGGUGUUCGUAGGACCAGUCAUCACGGACGGUUUCAAGGAGGUACCGCUUUGCGGAUUUUAUGGCUUCUUCACGCGUUUCGGCAGCCUUGGAUGCUAAGUCCGCAUCGGGCCGGGGUUUUCGAUGUAACGAGGCGAAAACGGAUGAGGCGUGGUGUUGAGGCGGGGGUUUGUCUGGUUUUGUCAAGUCCAUUUGCUCCCUCUCUUGUUUAUAUCCUUCCCUUCGUUUGUAAUACGUCACGAACGUCAAAGGGUCACUUGUGAGCCCGUUCCUGAGACAUGGAGUUAGUUAGAAACCUGUGAGUUGGCUGGGAUGGAUGAGAGGUCGGUGGUCUGCUGGUUUGGGGAUAACAGUCGUCGUUACCGCAUUAGCAUUGGGUCAGAAUCGCUCUGGGGUUGGGUUCUUUGCUUGUUCCCCGCCAUAAAGUUAUCUCAGUGCCUCGGACUUCGCAAAGGAUUCGCCAUUUUAGCCCAGCCAAUCAGAGGAUCACAUUAUCUGCCACUAAUCCUAUUUUAGUAAGACUGUUGAUUCUUCAUGAAGAGUUUGUUUUGGUGUAAGAAGAAAGAAAUCUUUGAACAAGAAUAACUAAACAACUAUAUCAAUUCAACAAAUGGG